rnacentral:rRNA from 1 species
CUACGGGAGGCAGCAGUAGGGAAUCUUCCACAAUGGACGCAAGUCUGAUGGANCAACGCCGCGUGNAUGAAGAANGUCUUCAGAUCNUANAAUCCUGUUGUUGAANAAGAACGGUUGUGANAGUAACUGCUCAUAACGUGACGGUAAUCAACCAGAAAGUCACGGCUAACUACUUGCCAUCAGCCGCGGUAAUACGUACGUGGCAAGCGUUGUCCGGAUUUAUUGGGCGUAAAGGGAGCGCAUGCGGUCUUUUAAGUCUGAAUGUGAAAGCCCUCAGCUUAACUGAGGAAGAGCAUCGNAAACUGAAAGACUUGAGUGCAGAAGANGAGANUGGAACUCCAUGUGNAGCGNUGAAAUGCGUAGAUAUAUGGAAAANCACCACUGGCGAAGGCGGCUCUCUGGUCUGUUACUGACGCUGAUGCUCGAAAGNAUGGGUAGCGAACAGGAUUANAUACCCUGGUAGUCCAUGCNGUAAACNAUGAGUGCUAAGUGUNGGNANGUUUCCGCNUCUCAGUGCUGCAGCUAACGCAUUAAGCACUCCGCCUGGNGAGUACNACCNCNAGGNUNAAACUCAANGGAAUUGACGGGGGCCCNCACAANCGGUG